GAUGAACGCUGACAGAAUGCUUAACACAUGCAAGUCGAUUCGAUUUACCUUCGGGUAUUGAGGAUGGCGGACGGGUGAGUAACGCGUAAGGAACUUGCCUCUUGGUCUGGGACAACUGUUGGAAACGACAGCUAAUACCGGAUAUUAUGAGAUUCUCGCAUGGGAAACUUAUGAAAGCUAUAUGCGCCAAGAGAGAGCCUUGCGUUCCAUUAGCUAGUUGGUGGGGUAACGGCCCACCAAGGCGACGAUGGAUAGCCGGCCUGAGAGGGUGAACGGCCACAAGGGGACUGAGACACGGCCCUUACUCCUACGGGAGGCAGCAGUGGGGAAUAUUGGACAAUGGACCAAAAGUCUGAUCCAGCAAUUCUGUGUGCACGAUGAAGGUCUUCGGAUUGUAAAGUGCUUUCAGUUGGGAAGAAGCAAGUGACGGUACCAACAGAAGAAGCGACGGCUAAAUACGUGCCAGCAGCCGCGGUAAUACGUAUGUCGCAAGCGUUAUCCGGAUUUAUUGGGCGUAAAGCGCGUCUAGGCGGAAAAAUAAGUCUGAUGUUAAAAUGCGGGGCUCAACUCCGUAUUGCGUUGGAAACUGUUUUUCUAGAGUACUGGAGAGGUGGGCGGAACUACAAGUGUAGAGGUGAAAUUCGUAGAUAUUUGUAGGAAUGNCGAUGGAGAAGUCAGCUCACUGGACAGANACUGACGCUAAAGCGCGAAAGCNUGGGGAGCAAACAGGAUUAGAUACCCUGGUAGUCCAC
rnacentral:rRNA from 1 species